GAAACACACAGGUAGAUGCUGGCUCUGCAGCAGGCUGGCUCUCUGCUCCCUGCCCAGUAAAGAAAGUGCUGCAGGCUUCUUUCCUGCUCUCAGAAGAAUCAGCUGCUGAGAAUGGCUGCUGUCUCCAAGCCAUGUUCCUUGCUCAGGAAAGGUUGAAAGAGGCCUGUGAGGAGGAGGAGGAAGGCACAGAACAAGCAUCACUCAUAGCUGAGCAGAAGCUGCCUCCAUCCUCAGCCCUGCUCUUUCUCCACCAGGAUGUGGUCUCUCCUCUCCUUUCCUGAUCACUUAGGGGCAGAUGAAGACAUCCAUCUCAAGAGUAAUGAAGCCCUGUCCCCUGCACACCCCCGAGGGGCUGGCUUCUGAAGAACGGCCAUACUUCUGGAAAGUGCCUGGAGAGAGCAGUUCUCUUCAACAGGUGUGGAGCUUGCAGUGAAUCCAUUCUGCUUCCCCUCUGGGACAGUCUGGGAUGUCAAUGCCACAGCCACGAACAGCUGGGGCAGCAGCCAAAGGAAACUGCUGUGGCAACCCACAGGCUGCACUUUUGUUCUCUGCCAGCAUCACAUGCAGCCUGAGUAAUAUUUGUGCUGUUUCCAUUUUAAGAGAUGGAAUGUGUUGGGUGUUUUCAGCAGGCGGGCAAGCCACGUCUCUGCAGUAUCAUGGCUUUUGUUGGUGACAGUUUCCAUGGUGUUGGUGUUCCCUCAGUCUCAGAGUUAGCACAGUUUCAUUAUCUCCAAAGAUGGUGUUUAAAUUGCCCAUCUCAUUAAUAAAUUAGACCCUGGUAAUUAUGGGCUUUUCUAAAUAAUCUAAUAAGGCUUCUUCUGCUUUGAUGAGGAGAGUUUAACUGUAAAAGCAAGAUUUAUAAUGUGCUUACAGGAACUGGGAUCAACAGGAAUGCCUUGCCUGGAAACUGAAGGUUUUCUCUGCCCUGUGCAGUUAAAGCCCAACUUCUAGAUGGGCAAAGGAGCUGCUGGUUAAAUGCAUUACAGUCACCAGGUCUGUGAAACACAUCAGCAUUUGCUUGUGCAGAGACAGAAGGAUCAAGCCUGUGCUGGAAGAGCUCCCUGCCCAGGGUUUGUAGGGGAUAAUUCUGCUCUAAGCCUGCUUGCCAAGCCAAAAUGCAAUGAUGGCAUCAUGAUAUUGACUUACAAAUAAUGAGAUAUGUAGAAAGUAGUAUAUAGUAUAACUAGUGGUUUGUUUGGUUUUUGGGUUUUGGUUUUUUGGGGUUUUUUUUUCUCCUUUAGGAUUUAAGUCUUCAAAAUGCACAUAUUUAGGCUUUAUUCUGAGCGUUUUGGAGAAGCAAAGGAGAUGCUGAGAUUUUCCCUGUAAUCACCUGCCUCUGGGAUCUGCAGCUCCAUAAAUGAGGUUUCCAGGUAUCAGUAGAGCUUUUGAAACCACAGAGGUUCAGAGCUGGCUUAUCCCUCUGCAGCAGGCAAAGUGUUCCCUGUGGUGACAGGGAAAUGCCACUGGUGGUGUGCAAGGAUAUUCUAUGCAAUUCCCAGUGCAUGUAUUCAAAAAAUGAAGCCAUAAACCCAUGACAGAAAUGUGGAGAGCAGGGAUCCAAGUGACCUCCAGGACUAGGAAGGACUCAGGGCAAAUGCAGUGAGGAAGGAACUGGGCUGUGAUUUUUUGGGUAGAAGAGCCAAAAGUCAACCCAAGGCGCCAAAACCAGCUUUAAAUUGCAAAUAACCGAUGUGUGAAACAUCUACAGAUGCCUCAUUGUGUGAAAUUAUGCUCUUAAUCUGUGCAAAAAUAGCCUGGUUCUGCAAUAGGAUUCUGCUGGCUGGCCAGGGCUGGCUUCAACAUCUGUGAUGGGGUCUUGUUGGGUUUCUGCAGUGCUGGGAUUAAGAUGAGUCUGUGUGUUGGCUGAUUUUAUUCCUGAUCUGACCUGAGCAGCUCUUCCAUAGAUUAGGUCAGACAUUUAUCUUUUCAGUGUUUAUUCCCUUGAUGCCUUAAGUUUUAGCUUUCAUAUUUUCCAGAUUUUGUACUGCAUUAGUUUAUAACUCUGAACUUAAUAUAAAGUGUUAGCAAAUUCUCUUCACAGUUGAGUUAGACAAAACUUUUUCCAGCCUGAGAACCAAGGACACCAUUGCAGCUUCAGGCCCAAAAAGUUAAACAACAGCAAAUUGAGGAGAGCAAUCUGGGAGGAUGGGACUGCAUAACCUGGAGCUGUAAUUGGACAAUUAACCCCAAUAUGGAAAUGGACCAAAAUUUAUAAAAGAGUGAAAACUCAUGACCUGGGAUCCAUCUUGGGUUCAUCUUGGGUGGAGCCAUGGCUGGGCUCUUGCACUGCCCAAGGUGCAUCCUUUAAAGGCCUUUAAAUAAAUCCCUAUUUAUUCCUUUAACACUAUCUGGCCUCUGUUCCAGGCAGCCUCUCAAGGCAUCACCCUGGUCCUCAGGACAGUGCACUUUGAUGAGAGCCUCAGGCUUGCCUUUGCCCUUCACAUUGCUGUGAGAGCUGCCAGGCCUGAAAGUGGCAUAAAAACAUAGCUUUUCUGGAAGAAAUUAAAAAUGGCUGUUUUAUAUUGGUAGAUGUCACACACUGACUGGCUUAGAAAUAUAAUAUUAAUGCCUAAAAAAGGUGAUUAUCACCUUUAUACUUGCUUAAUAGCAUAGUUUUAAAGGGAAUUACCAACAUCAUAUAUUACAUUCUUCUGCUACAGUAAAUAGUCUGUCCCUGGUGUAUUUUAUUAUUUACUGUAAAUUCAUUCAAGCAGUAUAUUUUGCUUUCACUAAGGUACCCUCAGUUACUUUUUCUGUCCAGGAUAAAUUGAGAUAAAUUUUGCCUGAGCCUGGAUUUUGCUCGUGGCAUCCAUCUUUGCCCAUGAAAAGUUGCAGUUGGAGUUGAACAGGAGUUGAGAAAUGAUAAUAUUGUGCUGCAGAAAGUCACAGCUCACCAGUCCGCAGCCAAGCUGCAUACAGAGGCCACAUUGAAGCAGCCAGGAGUUUAAUAGGAAUUGAGAAACACAAAGGAAUGUGAUGUAUUCUCUAAUGUUUAUUCUGAUAAAGCAAUAAGAACAUUACAAGAAAAUGACACUAGUUAUUUACCAUGACACGGUGAGAUUACACAGCAGCGUAUCAUCACCCCAGGCACCAUGGCUUGUCACUAGUUUCCAUUUUUGCCCUUGGAGGGCUAAGAAUUUAUUGCUAGAGUUAUUAAAAAUGUUGCUAGAGUUGUAGAAAUAUUGCUAGAGUUAUAGAAUACUUUUUGGAGGGGGUGGAAGAGAAGACUUCAAAUAAAAGAUAUCUCCAUCCCUUUGCUGACAAUUCCAUGUUCCCAAGGCUGAGCAAAUCUCACAGCUAUGACCACUGUGUUGUCAAAUUGCAUAAAAGCCUUCAGGCUGGCACGGAUUGCCUUCCUGCAGAAGUUGUGGAGUCACUGUGAAAACUGUUUGAUUGAGAGCUCUGGUUCCAGGGCUCUUGCAGGGGGAAUGAGACGUGACCUUGAGGUCGGUGGCGCUUUGCAGUGGCUCUGGGGACACCUGCCCAUGGUAAUGAAGUCUCCACAUUUCCAUGCUUUUUAAGAAAUCCUACUAGCUGCCCCCCAGAUGCAACAUAUUUAUGGACCCGUCUGGAUUCUGGUUUGCACUUCCAGCUCUGGAAACCCCAGGAUCAGCCCAUGGCACAGUCCAGUGUCUGUGUUGGGGUGGAUGUUGGCAGAUACCCCAUCAUGCAAUGUCUUUUGUUGCAAGUGAGUUCAAACAUAGAAUACCUACAAAAAUGGGAAAAUACUAAUUUUUUUUAAAAAAUACUAAUUUUUUGAGUCCCCCAGGUUAUGGGGCUGCCUGUGGCCAUGGAAUGGGUCAUCAGCACUCAACAUCCCAAACACUUUUCCUGCAGCAGUGGAAGCAUGAACAGCAGAACUGUUGUCUCCUGCUCCCCUCUGAAGAGUCAUCAUUUGCUCCUCACUAACAUCAAGUGUUUUAUUUAAAAGUGUUUAA